rnacentral:lncRNA from 1 species
GAAAGAGUUCGAAUCCGACCUCUCAGAAGAGCUCGGAUUCAGGCUAAUAAGACCUAGAUCUCGCAAAAUAGCCAGCAUAUAACGAAAUUAAACUAAGGCGCCCCAACACCUGUAUCAUGUAGCAAUACGACCUACUAACGGCCAAAACAAGGCUCGCAGUGCCAAAACGCCAAAGCACCAUGCCAAUCUCAAGAAAAUGAGCUCGGUACUGGUAAAUCCAAUAGGCAGACCGAAUUAAGGCGAGGCGAAUCCUAAGCAAAAUGCAUACCAAAAUACAGAACCAAACAAAGAAUGAGGGGCAAUCAUAAGAGGCAUCAACCUCGAGAAUCAAUUGCUGGCACUAAACCAGCUCAGCUAGCCUAGAGAGAGGUCUAGGCAGCCAAGAGCCCGUAAAACGCUCGAGGGCAGACAGCCCAUAUAACACUCAGGGGCAGUAGAAAGCCCUGACUCAUUAGAAUACAAAAGAAUCGAACCGCAGUAUGGUCAAGUCCAAAACAAAUAGUCCAACCUCUUCAAUCCAGAGUCGAUCUUCCCAGAAGCUUGGAGGGGCCUCAUAUCUGGACUGGCGAGGCUACAAGUUUAUAAAAGAAAAGUUGAAGCCGAACAAAUAAGCAGUCAGACUGAGACAUAGCCCAUAUAAGGCUCGACAAGAAAACAAGAAAUUAAGUCCGACUUCACAAAAGAGCUCGGGGCACAAAAGUGAAGAAAGUGAAAUUCCGAACUCUCGAGCUCGCGAUACAGGCAGCGUCACAGGCUAUAGGCAUAAAAGCCUAAGCAAAAAAGCAAAGAGUCGAGCUCCCAGCUCGGAUGAACUCGCGACAUGAAAACACUCAAGUAGAACAAAGAUAAGUAUAGAAGAAAUAACAGAGAACCGAGCUCCCUUUAUGAAAAGGCCCACAAAUGCAGAAACACAUAAAAGGAUAAACGAAGGCGAAGGACUGUGCUCACAGCUCGGAUUAACUCAGCAUAAACAAACAUUUAACAAGGAUAACCCAGGAAGAGGAAAACGACAAAAGACCAAGCUCUCUAUCCCAGUGGAGCACACAGCUCAAACCGCACUGACUGCCAGAAGGUUAUCUCAAGAGGAACAAGGUAUUAUGUAUCCGAGCUCGCAAUAAUGACGAGAUCGUGAGUUAAAAACAGAAAUGCCCUCAUGGGAAUAAGAAAAACUCGCAAGUCAGAAGCUUAACCAUACUCCGAGCUCUUAGCCCGGAUCAGUUCGACUAGCAGAGUCUCAGUAGAGCCGGCCUAGUCCAUCAAUUAAGAAAAAUUGACAAAGCCAGAAGAUAGUCUAAGUGAAAAAUAAUGAUGAGGUACAUGUCGAGGUGAAAUAUCAUUCAUCAUCGAAUACACAUCUCCAUAUCACCAUACAUUCAAAACAUCAAAGUAAAGAGACAAAAAAAAAGGCAAGGAAAGAACACUUUCGACAAGAGCAAUUCUCAGGCCACACGGUCAUGAAUGGAGCCCUCGCCAGUCAUGGAAUAAUUGCCGAGGAGGUAAAGGGGCAAUUGAUAACCGCCUGGUUUUUCUAGCCCAGAAAUAAGGACGGAUCCAAAAGAAGGCCACAAGUCCAAAGCCCGUCAGACCAUAUGCUCGAAAGACAGCCCGAUUUCACAAGCCCAGAACCAGCAACCCAAGGCAAUUCAGAUCAGAUACGAGCACAGGCCCAAUAGGGAAGCAGGCCCAGUCACUCACCAACCCUGUUCGCACGUGUGACAGGGAGAAUUAAAUGGCCGCCUGGCAUGGAGAAGGGGUUUGACACGUCCGUACGUACGGGCCUGAGUGACAUGGACAGGUAGCACUAUAGACUAGGGGGUCUUCUCUUUUCUUAGGGCUCUCUCUUCUGGAGGCUCAGGGGGCUUCUUCUUCCUUCUCCUUCCUGGACUCCAUUUUUAUUUUCUCUCUGCAACUCUUGCCUAAAUAUACUACUUUAAUUCAUGAAAUCUGACUUGAACGUCGGAGGGUCUCCACCGGGGAAUCCCCGUUAGACCCCUAACCGUUUUUCCUUAUUUUGCAGGUCCUUUCAUCAGAUAGAACAUUGAGAGACCCAUUUGAUGGACCCAUAUG